GCUCUUUGUGCCUGAGAAAGCUUCUUCUCUGCUCCAGCCUUUGGAAUUUGGGGACUCUUUGUAACCCAGGCCACAGGAAAGGUCUCGAGAGUCCUCAAGGCCUGUGCUUUGGAAAUUCCCACCGUCUUAACUGCAGGUGUGACAAUGUUAACUGAAGGCCUGGUGCCAUGCUGCCUAGGCUCAGAGAUUGAUAACUGCGAAGGCAUCCAGAUUUGGGGGUCUGCCCCCCCUUCUCCUUAACACUCCAGCCUCUGAGGCUGGCCAGGCAUCUGGUGUUUGUUAGAUGGCUGUGGAACAUCUCCUAGCAUUGGAGCGAUUGCAGAGAAGGCUGUGGGGCACAAAAUGGCCUCAUCCGGUUUACAUCUUCAUUACCAACCUCCUCACAUACCUGCUUACAUCUGGAACGAAUCUCCAGACAUACUGGUCUCAAACUGACUAUGUACCGGAGAGUGCCACUGAACUGCUUGCUUCUUCUGCCUUCCCUUUCCUAGUGGUGUGACGACAAGCAAAGUGGUACCAUAUUCAGUGAAGGUUGCCACUGGAAUGGAACCCUAGGCUUCAUGCAUGCCAGGCAAACACUACGUCCUGAGCUUCAUCUCCAGUUACUGCAAUUUACUCAUUUUUUAAUUUUUAUUUUAUAAAUUAAGGGAGAUCCAAAAGGAGGAGGAGGAAGAGAAGGACCUAAGGGAGGCUUCAGCAGGCCCCUUUGCCUUUUUUGUGUGCCCACACAGCCAAGGAGAAGGCAGUCUCUGUAGGGUCGUUCCUGUUAGUGCUCACUUCAACUCUGAGUCCUUUACUCUUGAGUUCAGCUGGGCUGUACCCACAGCUCCUGUUCCAGGCUUCUCCCUCCACCCCACUCCAAAGGAGGUGAGGCAAACCUGCUGUGGUUGAGUUCAUAUGAUGCAUAGAUUAGGUUUCUUGGUAGUUUCUCAUUAUCCUCAUAAAGUUUCUGCAUUUUUUCAUUCCAUUUUACUUUUGAGUCUACAAUUGGAAGUUUUCAAAUGUUCUAUCUAUUUCUGCUUGAUUGAGUCUAUUAUUGACAUUUCUGUUGCUUUUCUUUUUAUUUCAUUGAAUUUAUCCAGGAUCCUUAUUUUUAUCUCUA
rnacentral:lncRNA from 1 species